rnacentral:tRNA from 1 species
CGGGGUGUGGCUCAGCCCGGUAGAGCGCUGCGUUCGGGACGCAGAGGUCGCGCGUUCAAAUCGCGCCAUCCCGACCC